rnacentral:rRNA from 1 species
GACGAACGCUGGCGGCGUGCUUAACACAUGCAAGUCGAGCGGUAAGGCCCUUUUGGGGGUACACGAGCGGCGAACGGGUGAGUAACACGUGGGUGACCUGCCCUCAGCUCUGGGAUAAGCCUGGGAAACUGGGUCUAAUACUGGAUAUGACCUUUCCUCGCAUGGGGUUGGGUGAAAGUUUUUCGGCUGGGGAUGGCCCGCGGCCUAUCAGCUUGUUGGUGGGGUGAUGGCCUACCAAGGCGACGACGGGUAGCCGGCCUGAGAGGGCGACCGGCCACACUGGGACUGAGACACGGCCCAGACUCCUACGGGAGGCAGCAGUGGGGAAUAUUGCGCAAUGGGCGGAAGCCUGACGCAGCGACGCCGCGUGGGGGAUG